rnacentral:rRNA from 1 species
AUACGUAGGUGGCAAGCGUUGUCCGGAAUUAUUGGGCGUAAAGCGCGCGCAGGUGGUUCCUUAAGUCUGAUGUGAAAGCCCCCGGCUCAACCGGGGAGGGUCAUUGGAAACUGGGGAACUUGAGUGCAGAAGAGGAUAGUGGAAUUCCAAGUGUAGCGGUGAAAUGCGUAGAGAUUUGGAGGAACACCAGUGGCGAAGGCGACUGGCUGGUCUGUAACUGACACUGAGGCGCGAAAGCGUGGGGAGCAAACAGGAUGAGAUGCCCUGGUAGUCCACGCCGUAAACGAUGAGUGCUAAGUGUUGGGGGGUUUCCGCCCCUCAGUGCUGCAGCUAACGCAUUAAGCACUCCGCCUGGGGAGUACGGUCGCAAGACUGAAACUCAAAUGAAUUGACGGGG